rnacentral:rRNA from 1 species
CCCUUGACAUGUCAAGAAUCUUGCAGAGAUGUGAGAGUGCUCGAAAGAGAACUUGAACACAGGUGCUGCAUGGCCGUCGUCAGCUCGUGUCGUGAGAUGUUGGGUUAAGUCCCGCAACGAGCGCAACCCUUGUCAUUAGUUGCUACGAAAGGGCACUCUAAUGAGACUGCCGGUGACAAACCGGAGGAAGGUGGGGAUGACGUCAGGUCCUCAUGGCCCUUAUGGGUAGGGCUACACACGUCAUACAAUGGCCGGUACAGAGGGCUGCCAACCCGCGAGGGGGAGCCAAUCCCAGAAAACCGGUCGUAGUCCGGAUCGCAGUCUGCAACUCGACUGCGUGAAGUCGGAAUCGCUAGUAAUCGCGGAUCAGCUUGCCGCGGUGAAUACGUUCCCGGGUCUU